rnacentral:rRNA from 1 species
AUGGCAGCACCGCGCGGCACGAUAAAGCUCCAAUGCAACACCGGUGGGCACCCGGCGAAGCUCCAUUGCAGCACCGCGUGGAGACAAAGCUCCAACGCAGCAUCGACGGCUCUCGACGACGAGCGGCGCCCCCUCUGGCCUUCCUGUGCUCCUUUGCAGCACCGACGACGAGCGCCGCCCCCUCCUGCUUCCCCGUGCUGCGAUGCAACACCAGCGACAAGCGGUGCCCGCCUCCCCGUGAUGCGUUGUAGCAUCGACGACGAGCAGAGCGGCGCCGACUCCCCUUGCGUACUUCGUGUUGGGUCGCCCCGCCUCCGGCACCACCCCGCGGGCUGCGUAUGCCUCCCCCUUUGCAGCAGUGGUGCCGUUUCAACCGCCGGAUUGCAGCACCGCGACAAUGGCGCGUGA